rnacentral:rRNA from 1 species
AUUGAACGCUGGCGGCAUGCCUUACACAUGCAAGUCGAACGGCAGCACGGGAGCAAUCCUGGUGGCGAGUGGCGAACGGGUGAGUAAUAUAUCGGAACGUGCCCAGUCGUGGGGAUAACGUAGCGAAAGCUACGCUAAUACCGCAUACGAUCUAUGGAUGAAAGCGGGGGAUCGCAAGACCUCGCGCGAUUGGAGCGGCCGAUAUCAGAUUAGGUAGUUGGUGAGGUAAGGCUCACCAAGCCGACGAUCUGUAGCUGGUCUGAGAGGACGACCAGCCACGCUGGGAC